GACGAACGCUGGCGGCGUGCUUUACACAUGCAAGUCGAACGGAAAGGCCCUGCUUUUGUGGGGUGCUCGAGUGGCGAACGGGUGAGUAACACGUGAGUAACCUGCCCUUGACUUUGGGAUAACUUCAGGAAACUGGGGCUAAUACCGGAUAGGAGCUCCUGCUGCAUGGUGGGGGUUGGAAAGUUUCGGCGGUUGGGGAUGGACUCGCGGCUUAUCCGCUUGUUGGUGGGGUAGUGGCUUACCAAGGCUUUGACGGGUAGCCGGCCUGGGAGGGUUACCGGCGACAUUGGGACUGAGAGACGGCCCAGACUCCAACGGGAGGCAGCAGGGGGGAAUAUUGCACAAUGGGCGGAAGCCUGAUGCAGCAACGCCGCGUGCGGGAUGACGGCCUUCGGGUUGUAAACCGCUUUCGCCUGUGACGAAGCGUGAGUGACGGUAAUGGGUAAAGAAGCACCGGCUAACUACGUG
rnacentral:rRNA from 1 species